rnacentral:rRNA from 1 species
CGGUAAUACGGAGGGUGCAAGCGUUAAUCGGAAUUACUGGGCGUAAAGCGCACGCAGGCGGUUUGUUAAGUCAGAUGUGAAAUCCCCGGGCUCAACCUGGGAACUGCAUUUGAAACUGGCAAGCUAGAGUCUCGUAGAGGGGGGUAGAAUUCCAGGUGUAGCGGUGAAAUGCGUAGAGAUCUGGAGGAAUACCGGUGGCGAAGGCGGCCCCCUGGACGAAGACUGACGCUCAGGUGCGAAAGCGUGGGGAGCAAACAGGAUUAGAUACCCUGGUAGUCCACGCUGUAAACGAUGUCGAUUUGGAGGUUGUGCCCUUGAGGCGUGGCUUCCGGAGCUAACGCGUUAAAUCGACCGCCUGGGGAGUACGGCCGCAAGGUUAAAACUCAAAUGAAUUGACGGGGGCCCGCACAAGCGGUGGAGCAUGUGGUUUAAUUCGAUGCAACGCGAAGAACCUUAC